rnacentral:rRNA from 1 species
UACAGAGGCCCCAAGCGUUGUUCGGAUUCACUGGGCGUAAAGGGUGCGUAGGCGGUCGGGUAAGUCUGAUGUGAAAUCUCACAGCUUAACUGUGAAACUGCAUUGGAUACUAUUCGGCUAGAGAGUUGGAGGGGGGACUGGAAUUCUUGGUGUAGCAGUGAAAUACGUAGAUAUCAAGAGGAACACCAGUGGCGAAGGCGAGUCCCUGGACAACUUCUGACGCUGAGGCACGAAAGCUAGGGGAGCAAACAGG